UCAGCCCUACGGGGGGCAGCAGUGGGGAAUCUUCCACAAUGGGCGAAAGCCUGAUGGAGCAACGCCGCGUGGGUGAAGAAGGUCUUCGGAUCGUAAAACCCUGUUGUUAGAGAAGAAAGUGCGUGAGAGUAACUGUUCACGUUUUGACGGUAUUUAACCAGAAAGCCACGGCUAACUACGUGCCAGCAGCCGCGGGAAUACGUAGGUGGCAAGCGUUAUCCGGAUUUAUUGGGCGUAAAGGGAACGCAGGCGGUCUUUUAAGUCUGAUGUGAAAGCCUU
rnacentral:rRNA from 1 species